rnacentral:lncRNA from 1 species
GUUCGUAUCUUCUCGUCUAUACAGAAUCCCUGCAUCCUCUGCACCUGUGUGGAAAAUCUACAGCUGCUCUUCGAGUGACGUGACCUAGAUUUUAAAACAAAAACUGCCCAGGAGGCUUUCAGCUGUAGCCUUACAUUUUCACUGGAACUGAACUUUCCAAAAUCUCUUGGCAGAGGGCAGCUUAUUUAGAGAACCUGACUGGCCAGUAGUAGAAGACAGCAUCCAUAGCAGCGGUGUUUCUCUGUGCGAAGAUGUUAGAAUUGGCCUGAUUUCCCUAAGUGUGAGGCAGUGACAGAUAGUCUUCUCCAUUGGGAACAGAGGUUGUGCAGCAUUUCUGAGAACCAAGCCACUUGCUGCUACUUCUGCACUCCUGAAAUUAACUUCUUAAGGCAUUCAGAACUAUAAAAAGUGAUUUAUAUCAUUCUCUGAUAUUGUGAAUUAUUUGCAAAACCUUUGUAUUUUCGGGAAAAAUAGAGCCAUUCUUAUGACAUCAUUAAAGAGCAACAGACCUAAAACUAAACAAAACAAAAAAUCACACUUGGGUAAGCUAUCAUGCAUCAUUUUGGGGUUUAAAUCUUUCUUCUUUGCAUUUUAUUAGGAUUUGCACUGCUUUUUCUGUUCUUUUCUGUUCAAAGGAGAUAGUGCUGAUAAAGAAAUAGCUCUCUUUUCCUGCUUGGUAUGAACUCUAGCCUUUAAGUUGAUAAACUACAUAACAUACACGUGUAUGCAUGCACAUAAAUAAGUUUUUAGAAAGAGAGAGAGGUGAAUGCUGUGAGAACCACCUCAACAACUUUAUGAACUUCAGUGCUGACUGCUCCGAAGAGUUAUGAUCCUUCUGUUUAAUGAUGGGAGUGACAGAGCAGGGCAUGUUCUUCAACAUCCUCACCUCGUCCAGCUCCACAGAUGAAGACCAACGUGAGUUGAUAAAGCCAGCUGCUAAUUUGGUUGAAACAUCUUUUCCCUUCAUUUCUUGUGAAUGAAACAGGUG